rnacentral:misc_RNA from 1 species
CGGGCUAAAUCCCGGCUGACCGGCCCCGAAACGGGCCUUCCCUUCGGGGCAGCCGGGAAGGUGCUGCAUGGCUGUCGUCAGCUCGUGCCGUGAGGUGUUGCCUUAAGUGGCGCAACGAGCGCAACCCCUGUGGUUAGUUACCAGCACGUUAUGGUGGGGACUCUAGCCAGACUGCCUACGCAAGUAGUGAGGAAGGUGGGGAUGACGUGGUGGAAGCAAGCU